AAUAGGACCUUAGAGGCAUAGUUUUAGGUGUGGUGUGAUGUAGAUCAAUUGAGAGUUAUGAUCUUGAGUGUUGCAAGCUAUGAGAGAUCAGAUGUAUUUGAGAGUUCUCUGUUGAGAGUCUAGAGUGUGAGGAGAGAGGUUGAGGAGAGAGGUUAUUUGAGGGUGGAAGAACCGAAUUGUUCUUCAGUUGUAAUCUUCUUCUCGUUUAAUGGAUCCAUCAUCAUCACCCGAGGAGGUAGGUCAUGUGAUUUGAUUGAACCUCGUUAAAUAUCUUGUGUUCAUGUUACACUGUUUCUGGUCAUUGUCUUCAUUCGGUUUCGGUCCUGGGCUAGGGAAUUCGGAGGGUGACCCAGAUUUCCUAACAAAUUCUUCACCAGUUCGAUGCCGCUUCCCAGUUUUGCUUGACGUUGUCUUGCCAACUUUAUUGGAAUUUAGUAGGGUCAAUAUUUAGUGUUUCCUACAUCGUCUACAUUCGAGUAACUUGUAUCGCUCAACCUUACUAACUUGAAUAAAAAAAUAGAAAAUAUCUACGAGGAUCGUUUAUAUUUUGAGUCAUUUUUUCAGAUUGUAAGGUAGCAUGUAAUGUUAACUAGUCUAAACGUCAAACUUUACACUAAUUAUGUAAUAUAAACGUGAAAAUAAUGAUUGUAUCAACCUAUCAUGGGUUGUAUGGAAAAAUGAGAGAGGUCAUUUGAACCCUCUCACUCUCAUGACCAUUGCUGCCUCAUAGUUUACUGGAGAUUUACUACUUCAAGAAGUUAUGAUCAGACGUUUUGGUCUAUCUUUUGUUAUAAGUGUGCUAUUUGUUACUUCUGUUUUGUAUUAUCAUCACUUGUGGCACUUCAGUAUGAAAUAUGAAUGCAAUGAAAAGGCAGCAGCUUUGUAAUGUUGGCAAAUGGCAGCUCUAGUACUUAGCAGUUAACCAAAAUUCACAAUUUCAAGUCUUCAAUAUGAAAUGUUGCAGGUUGCCAUCUCCAUUCAUAUUCUCACUAAACCAAUUGAACGUAGGCAGAUGCAGAUCAGGAGCCUAGAAGUCUGGGGUCACCAGAUCCUUUGAAGUUUGAACCAGAAUCACUAAGAUCACAAAACAAUAAACCCUCACAACCAUGUCCCAAUUAUUCACAAGUUCAAUUGGAUUAAGAGAAGCCAGUAUGAACAACACAAACACAAACACAGAAGCAGAAUCAGUACCAUAAAAUUCUCCAGACUACAAAAGAGAUCACAAGGUCCACAAAAUCUGCAAUCAUAUUGAAACACAACCCUUACAACUCAUGCAGAAGCAAGCAUGUAAAACAUAGCAUCACAGUUCUCUACUGCCCUGAAUUGGAAUCGGGAAAAGGACUAAACCACUCUGCACCAUCUUCUCCAAAGGCCAAAACAGUGGUUUGGGGAGGUCGUCCCACUCGUACCAACCCCAGCCCUCACACUUGUCCGGCUCAACAGUCUGGGGAACUUGAUCGGGAUCUUUCAUACCCGCGCGCAUGAAGAUGGUCACGUAAUGCGCCGGUUUGGGUUCGUCCAAGAACAAGUUGUUCGUCACCGUCACAAACUCGAGCUUGUCUACUUCCACACCAGUCUCUUCCUUCAGUUCUCUCGCCGCACACUCCUCAAAGCUCUCGCCUGUUCAAAAACAAAUCCCACAUCGGAUAACAUAAAGAAAGAUUGGAAUAAAGGGUAAAGCAACAUUGGAAUAAUGGUAUAUGACCUUGAAUUGUCCAUGCUAAACUCCAUGAUUUCCAAUAAAGACUAAGCAACAUUGCAACAAUAUCAAUCCAUGCCACCUUGUGCAGCUUGCAUGCAGUAGUGGAUGCUCAAACUAAUUCAUUUUGCUCCUUCUGUCAAAUAACUUAAUUUGCUGUCUCACUUAAAGUACAAUUGUCAUGAUAUGAUAUAUAGUUUUUUAUGUACCAUGUAAUAAUUGACUUGUUUUUAGCGUCAAUUUUGUUUUG
rnacentral:lncRNA from 1 species